AAGCUAAAAUUUUUAAAAGAAACACCUACACCGGCCAUCACUCACACUCACAUAAACACUCAGGAGGCAGAUAGACAAUCGACAGGUCCGUUAAAAAGAGCACCGGAUAAGAUGUUACCUGUCUAGUAGCCUUCUGGAUGCAGGAAGGACGCGGAGAUAGACCGACACAAAACAGGAGUAUACAGACAACGGCUGUAUGGUGGAGGUGAUCAGGCUCCGGGUGUCCC